UAAUGUGGUUUACAAAAUAAUUUCUAAGGCAUUGGCAAAUAGGUUGAAAAGGGUCCUUCCAAAUAUCAUAUCCGAAGAGCAAUCAGCAUUUAUCCCUGGAAGAAUUAUUAGUGACAAUAUUCUGGUUGCUUAUGAAUGUCUGCACUUCAUGCGCACGAACCGUUCAAAAAGUAAUGCUUAUUAUGCUUUGAAAUUGGAUAUGAUGAAGGCAUAUGAUAGAGUGGAGUGGAGCUAUCUGGAAGCAAUAAUGCUAAAAUUGGGGUUCGACCGACUUUGGGUGGAUAAAAUUAUGAAAUGUGUAACGACAGCCUCCUUCUCUAUCCUGUUUAAUGGAGAACGACUACAAGAAUUCAAGCCAACUCGAGGUAUUAGACAAGAUGCAAGCAAUGCUCAGUUAGUGCAAGAGUCCCUCACCAAAUAUUGUGACGCUUCAGGCCAAAAGUGAUAUCCUCAGUGCUCCUAUUGGGAAUAAUCCAUCCAAGACCUGGAGAGCCAUAUAUGAUGGAAUAGAGGUGCUGAAACAAGGAUUGAUCAAACGCAUUGGUGAUGGUAAAAGCACACUAAUAUCUGGAUGUAAUUGGAUUCCAAGAACUAGGAUGUUUAGGCCUCUCUAUUCUGAAAAAAGAAACCCUCCAACUUUUGUUUCUGAAUUGAUUGAUCAUACUUCUAUGACAUGGAAAACAGAGGUAGUGCAACAUUUUUUCAAUCAAAUGGACAGUGAAGCAAUAUUGCAGAUCCCAUUAAGUAUGAGUAAACAAGAAGACUGUUGGGCUUGGCACCAUGAAAGAAAUGGUAUAUUUUCUGUGCGCUCAGCAUAUCGAAUGAUGAUUGAAGCAAAGAAGAGUAGAGAUGACUACUUUGAAGGAACGGCAAGCUGCUCUGAUUUUGUUAAAAGACAAAAGGAAUGGAAACAACUAUGGAAUAUGAAAUUGCCAUCUAAAGUCAAAAUAUUCUGUUGGCGUCUUGCUUUGAAUUCAAUUCCAACUGCCAGUAUGCUCAAAGGUAGGAAUAUGUGUGAUACAGCUGAAUGCAAACUCUGCGGUGCAGAUGAGGACACAUGGGACCAUGCAUUGCUGCAUUGCUCAAUGUCUAAAUGUGUUUGGGCUCAGCUAGAUGAGGAAGUAACAGAGCUGAUCGCUAGUUUACAUAUUUCAGACCCAAAGCAUUGGAUUUUCUUUAUGUGCAGCAAUAUUUCGCAAGCUGAUUCUAUACGCAUUCUUGUCACCUGUUGGGCUAUUUGGCAGGCAAGGAGGAAAGCAAUCUAUGAUGGGAUAUAUCAGAGCCCUUUAUCUACAAUGGCAAUGAUCAAUAGGCUGAUAGAAGAAUGGGAAAUUAUGGAGGGAUUUCAAAAGAAAGGGAAGUGCCAACAACAACAAAAAGUAAAAUCUAGACAUUGGUUAGCACCUGAAAAUGGACGAUGCAAAAUAAAUGCAGAUGCAGCUGUCAACCACACCGCCGGCAAAGGCACUG